ACCCUAACCGGAGCAUUGACU
rnacentral:miRNA from 1 species